rnacentral:rRNA from 1 species
UACGAAGGUGGCGAGCGUUACUCGGAAUUACUAGGCGUAAAGGGCAGGUAGGUGGUUUGGUAAGUCGGGUGUGAAAUCUUGGAGCUUAACUCCGAAACUGCAUUCGAUACUGCCGUGCUUGAGGACUGGAGAGGAGACUGGAAUUUACGGUGUAGCGGUGAAAUGCGUAGAUAUCGUAAGGAAGACCAGUGGCGAAGGCGGGUCUCUGGACAGUUCCUGACGCUGAGGCACGAAGGCCAGGGGAGCAAACGGG